CCUACGGGUGGCAGCAGUGGGGAAUAUUGGACAAUGGGCGAAAGCCUGAUCCAGCCAUGCCGCGUGUGUGAAGAAGGCCUUCAGGUUGUAAAGCACUUUCAGUGGGGAAGAAAGCCUUGGGGCUAAUACCCUCGAGGAAGGACAUCACCCACAGAAGAAGCACCGGCUAACUCCGUGCCAGCAGCCGCGGUAAUACGGAGGGUGCGAGCGUUAAUCGGAAUUACUGGGCGUAAAGCGCGCGUAGGCGGUCUGAUAAGCCGGUUGUGAAAGCCCCGGGCUCAACCUGGGAACGGCAUCCGGAACUGUCAGGCUAGAGUGCAGGAGAGGAAGGUAGAAUUCCCGGUGUAGCGGUGAAAUGCGUAGAGAUCGGGAGGAAUACCAGUGGCGAAGGCGGCCUUCUGGACUGACACUGACGCUGAGGUGCGAAAGCGUGGGUAGCAAACAGGAUUAGAUACCCCUGUAGUC
rnacentral:rRNA from 1 species